rnacentral:rRNA from 1 species
GACGAACGCUGGCGGCGUGCUUAACACAUGCAAGUCGAACGAUGAAGCCCUUUCGGGGGUGGAUUAGUGGCGAACGGGUGAGUAACACGUGGGCAAUCUGCCCUGCACUUCGGGACAAGCCCUGGAAACGGGGUCUAAUACCGGAUAUGAUCAUCGGCCGCAUGGCCUGGUGGUGGAAAGCUUCGGCGGUGCAGGAUGAGCCCGCGGCCUAUCAGCUUGUUGGUGGGGUGAUGGCCUACCAAGGCGACGACGGGUAGCCGGCCUGAGAGGGCGACCGGCCACACUGGGACUGAGACACGGCCCAGACUCCUACGGGAGGCAGCAGUGGGGAAUAUUGCACAAUGGGCGGAAGCCUGAUGCAGCGACGCCGCGUGAGGGAUGACGGCCUUCGGGUUGUAAACCUCUUUCAGCAGGGAAGAAGCGAGAGUGACGGUACCUGCAGAAGAAGCACCGGCUAACUACGUGCCAGCCGCCGCCGUAAAAC